GGGGGUGACCGGAUUCGACGGGGUGUGUUCUGGCAUUGACAGCAGGCAGAGUGCCGGAGCUCUUUAAAAAACGGAACCAAAUGUAACUGCGAAUAAUAGAACACUCGCACUGGCUGCUUAGGCAGCCACGUUCUGCCAGCGUUGCCGAUAGCGCUGAACAGGGCGUCAAAAAUAUCGGAUAGUCCAAGUGUGAUGCUCCGGGCAUAAGGGCGAAUUCUUAGGAGAUGCAGUCACUGUGAACUUGUCGGUGAGGGCGCUUUGACUAAAGACAAAAAACAUCGACUAAGCCUGUAGUCGGUUGAUGUGGGAACCUCUUCGGACGCGGGUUCAAGUCCCGCCACCUCCACCA
rnacentral:tmRNA from 1 species